CUUAGGGAUAAGGGGUGCCACCAUCAGGUGGCCGCAGAGAAUAGGCCCAAGCGACUGUUUACCAAAAACACAGGUUUCUGCUAAGUCGCAAGAUGAUGUAUAGGAGCUGACGCCUGCCCGGCGCUGGCAGGUUAAGGGGAUCUGUUAGAGCAAUCGAAGCAGUGAACUUAAGCCCCAGGAAACGGCGGCCGUAACUAUAACGGUCCUAAGGUAGCGAAAU
rnacentral:rRNA from 1 species